GGGGAGGCCUGAGAGAUGGUGGUUUACCCUGUGGCGGAUGUUAGCGGUCUGAGUCCACUUAUCUCCAGCCCGUGAUCCUAGCCAAUACAAUGGUAUAUGAUAGCACAUAAUUAUAUGAAAAUGAGCAUAGAUCUGGAGAUUCCUGAAUAGGUUAACCUUUUUAAUUGUUGCUUAAUCCAUGGGCAAGCAAGAGACAACUUGGAAAACUGAAACAUUUUAGUAGCCAGAGGAAUAGAAAGAAAAAGUGAUUCCCGUAGUAGCGACGAGCAAAAUGGGAGCACCCUAAACCGUGAAAACUAGGUUGUGGGAGAGCACAAUAUAAGAUCUGUGCUGCUAGUUGAAGCAGUUGAGUCCUAUACCCUAGAUGGUGAGAGUCCAGUAGCCAAAACCAUAAUUGGGUUCUACUCUAACCCAAGUAGCAUGGGGCAUGUGGAAUCCCGUGUGAAUUAUAAAGGACCAUGUUGCAAGGCUAAAUACUCCUGGGUGACCGAUAGUGAAGUAGUACCAUGAGGGAAAGGUGAAAAUGACCCCCAUCAGGGAAUGAAAUAGAACAUGAAACUGUAAUCUCCCAAGCAGUGGGAGGAAAAUGAUAUCUCUGACCAUGUGCCUAUUGAAGAAUGAGCCGACAACUUAUAGGCAGUGGCUUGGUUAAGGGAACCCACCGAAUCCGUAGUGAGAGCGAGUCUUCAUGGGGAAAUUGUCACUACUUAUGGACCUGAACCUAGGUGAUCUAUCCAUGACCAGGAUGAAGCUUGGGUGAAACCAAGUGGAGGUCUAAACCGACUGAUGUUGAAAAAUCAGCUGAUGAGUCGUGGUUAGGGGUGAAAUGCCACUCGAACCCGUAGCUAGUUGGUUCUCCCUGAAAUGCAUUGAGGUGCAACAGUUUACUAGGUCAUCUAGAGGUAAAGCAUGAUUUUGGUAUGGGCCACGAGAGAGGUACCAAAUCAAGGCAAACUCUUAAUACUAGAUUUCCCCAAUAAAAGGGGUAAAGUUCAGUCAGUGAGAUGAUGGGGGAUAAGCUUCAUCGUCGAGAGGGAAACAACCCAGAUCAUCAGCUAAGGCCCCUAAAUGACCGCUUAGUGAUGAAGGAAGUAAGAGUGCAAAGACAUCCAGGAGGUUUUCCUAGAAGCAACCAACCGUGAAAGAGUGUGUAAUAGCUCACUGAUUGAGCACUCUUAUGUCGAAGAUGAAUGGGACUAAGCGAUCUGUUGAAGCUGUGGGAUGUAAAAAUACAUCGGUAGGGGAGAAAAAUGGACCAAAUAUGCUAAGGCUACUAUCUUGGAAGGUAGUGGAGCCAAAUCACCCAACAAGGAAGUAAGUGCCUAGUUUGGUGUAAGUUGGUAGGAAUCAACAUAUUUUAAAUGCGAGACUAGGCACUCAAUUUACCUUAAUUUACCUUAAUUUACCACCUCAUCAC
rfam:Picea glauca, whole genome shotgun sequence.